rnacentral:rRNA from 1 species
UACGAGUGCCCCAGGCGUUAUCCGGAAUCAUUGGGCGUAAAGGGUGUGUAGGUGGCGUGAUUAGUCUUCUGUUAAACCUUCUGGCUCAACCAGAAACUUGCAGAGGAAACGGUCAUGCUCGAGGGUGCGAGAGGUGAAUGGAACUCAUGGAGUAGGGGUGAAAUCCGUUGAUAUCAUGGGGGAACACCAAAAGCGAAGGCAACUCACUGGCGCAUUCCUGACACUGAAACACGAAAGCGUGGGUAGCGAACGGG